CUGUUAAUUCUAUCUCCUUAAUAAGAUGAUCAAGUUACUUUUUGUUGGAAAAGAUGAAUGAGUUAAUGAUGUUCUGAAUCGAUACAUAUUGAUGUAUUGGAUCGAUGAACAUGUUUGUUAUAAGUUUGGAUUAUUUAAAAUAUUUAAAUAAUUUUAUAGUAAGAUAAAGAAAUAAACUUGAAAGAGCAUUGAAAUUCUUUGAUC
rnacentral:lncRNA from 1 species